GUACGCUGGCGGCACGCCUUAUACAUGCAAGUCGAACGAAGUAGCAAUACUUAGUGGCAGACGGGUGAGUAACAUGUGGGUAUCUUCCCUUUGGUGAGGAAUAACACGAGGAAACUUGUGCUAAUACCUCAUAAGUCUUUACGGAGAAAGCUUUAUGUGCCAAUGGAUGAGCCUGCACUUGAUUAGUUUGUUGGUGGGGUAAUGGCCUACCAAGACUUUGAUCAAUAGCUGAUCUGAGAGGAUGAUCAGCCACAUUGGGACUGAGACACGGCCCAAACUCCUACGGGAGGCAGCAGUAGGGAAUAUUGCACAAUGGAGGAAACUCUGAUGCAGCGAUGCCGCGUGAGUGAAGAAGGCCUUUGGGUUGUAAAGCUCUUUCGUCGGGGAAGAAAAUGACGGUACCCGAAUAAGAAGGUCCGGCUAA
rnacentral:rRNA from 1 species